AAGUCGAACGAAGCUCGAAGCUCUGAGAUUUCGGUCAAGGAGCCUAGAUGACUUAGUGGCGAACGGGUGAGUAAUGCGUGAGCAACCUGCCUUUCAGAGGGGGACAACAGCUGGAAACGGCUGCUAAUACCGCAUAACACAUCGGGGUGGCAUCACCCUGGUGUCAAAGGAGCAAUCCGCUGAGAGAUGGGCUCACGUCUGAUUAGCUGGUUGGUGAGGUAACGGCUCACCAAGGCGACGAUCAGUAGCCGGUCUGAGAGGAUGAACGGCCACAUUGGGACUGAGAUACGGCCCAGACUCCUACGGGAGGCAGCAGUGGGGAAUAUUGGGCAAUGGGCGAAAGCCUGACCCAGCAACGCCGCGUGAAGGAAGAAGGCUUUCGGGUUGUAAACUUCUUUUAUCAGGGACGAAGGAUGUGACGGUACCUGAUGAAUAAGCCACGGCUAACUACGUGCCAGCAGCCGCGGUAAUACGUAGGUGGCAAGCGUUGUCCGGAUUUACUGGGUGUAAAGGGCGCGUAGGCGGAGAGACAAGUCAGAUGUGAAAUCUAUGGGCUUAACCCAUAAACUGCAUUUGAAACUAUCUCCCUUGAGUGAUGGAGAGGCAAGCGGAAUUCCUAGUGUAGCGGUGAAAUGCGUAGAUAUUAGGAGGAACACCAGUGGCGAAGGCGGCUUGCUGGACAUUAACUGACGCUGAGGCGCGAAAGCGUGGGGAGCA
rnacentral:rRNA from 1 species